AUGUCUCAACGAAUCGGAGCAAGACUAUUUGUUAGCAGACUAUCAUUUUACAUUACCAACGACCAGUUCGUGAAAUUGUUCUCGCCAUUCGGAGCACUUAAAGAAGCUUCGCUUGUGAUAGACCCAAAAACCAAAAGACCUAAAGGUUUUGGUUUUGUCUCGUAUGAGUCUGAAAUUGAAGCAGAAAAAGCUAUGAAAGCGUUAAAUGGAAGGAUAGUUGAUGGAAGGCUAAUUUUCGUUGAACCUGCAAAAUGGAAGGAAUCUUGA